GGACAGGGGAUGGAAGGUGGGGGAGGGGAUGGGUUGCCAUGGAGGAGGACAUGGGGGGACGCAUAAAAGGGACACGGGGACAUCAUGGAGGGCAUGGUGGUGAUGGUGAUGAUGGUGGUGGUGAUGGUCGUGUGAUGAUGAUGAUGGCAUUGGGUGAUGAUGGUGGUGAUGAUGAUGAUGGUGUUCAGUGAUGAAUUGGUGAUGCUGUUGCUGAAGAUGGUGAUGGUGUCAAUGGUGUUGGGUGAUGGUAAUGGAGGUGAUGGAGUUCACUGUGGUGUUGCUGAUGAAGACCAAGGUGUGGAUGAGAGUGAUGAUGAUGGGGACAGUGAUGGUGGUGAUGAUUGUUGGAAGCCUGGAAACUGAGAAUUUUAGGCUUUCUGUGCUAACAGGCCCUGACCCUCAGGCAAGCACUACAUUUGACCUGAGGCCAUGGAAAAGGCUUCCAAAAUUGAGUGAUAGCACUGGGAUUAUGGGUGUGCAGUUUGAAUAGAAGUGUGUGAUGUCACAGGGUGGAAAACUUGGAUUAUAAGGUUAAAGUAUAUAGUAAUAUAGAGAGAGCAAGAUGGAGGAUUUAGGGCGUAGGCUAAGUUCUUUCAUCUUCUUCAUGGUUUUGGGUGGUAUACUGUAAUUGGGUAAGAAAAUCCGCAUUGUGGACUACGGGUGUUUGGUUAUUGGGUGAAAAGUAAAAAUAGUCUAGGUGUCAUUUCAUAAUUGGAGAAUUUGUGCUUAAAAGACCUUGGAAAGAGUUAGAGACAGAGCCACUUUU